rnacentral:pre_miRNA from 1 species
UAUAUACUUCCUCCAUCCCAAAAUUGUUGUAUUAGAUUUGUCUAAAUACAAAUGUAUCAAGUCACGUUUUAGUAUUAGGUAUAUCCGUAUCUAGACCAAUCUAAGACAAGAAUUUUGGGAUGGAGAGAGUAUAAU